rnacentral:rRNA from 1 species
GAUGAACGCUGGCGGCGUGCCUAAUACAUGCAAGUCGAGCGAACGGACGAGAAGCUUGCUUCUCUGAUGUUAGCGGCGGACGGGUGAGUAACACGUGGAUAACCUACCUAUAAGACUGGGAUAACUUCGGGAAACCGUAGCUAAUACCGGAUAAUAUUUUGAACCGCAUGGUUCAAAAGUGAAAGACGGUCUUGCUGUCACUUAUAGAUGGAUCCGCGCUGCAUUAGCUAGUUGGUAAGGUAACGGCUUACCAAGGCAACGAUGCAUAGCCGACCUGAGAGGGUGGUCGGCGACACUGGAACUGAGACACGGUCCAGACUCCUACGGGAGGCAGCAGUAGGGAACCUUCCGCAAUGGGCGAAAGCCUGACGGAGCAACGCCGCGUGAGUGAUGAAGGUCUUCGGAUCGUAAAACUCUGUUAUUAGGGAAGAACAUAUGUGUAAGUAACUGUGCACAUCUUGACGGUACCUAAUCAGAAAGCCACGGCUAACUACGUG